CACCCAUAGAAUGAACCCCUGACGCGUCCCGGAAGCUGCGGGAAAUCUCGUUUUGUGAGCGUGCCAAACGACCUCCAGGGAAAGGCUUUCCGGAGGAGGAAACUGCAGGGCAAGCUCAACCAGUUUUAAGAAUAAGCCUGAGAAGGGAUGCCGACUGAAAGCAGUAGCGGGCCAACUGCCGAGGGCUCAGACCAUCACUGAAUCGGCUCUAAAUUCUUAGGACCAAACUCGUUGAACAGUUGACAGUCGGGAAUUAUUCGGGGAGCUGUGAAAAGUCGGAGGACCAGCAAACUGAAUAGAAAGUGUUAAUAGUAAAUAUUGCAGAGAAAGCUGCUGCCACCCGCAGGGGGCGUGGAGGAAGACGGAAGCGCCUCUGCACCUCCUACCAGCAGCCCACACUUUCCUCACUAGGAAGUUGUGAAGGAAAAAGUGUCAGGAGCUUAUUCUCAAAACGUCUGGGGCCAGUGAGACCGCUCAUCAACAAAUGUGCCUGCUGCCAAACACACUGAACUGUUUGGACCCCCAUGGUGUACACGGAAAACCAAUCUACCCCCUGACCCCAGGUGCUCCAGGACAUGCCUCACACACACAAGAUAAAUAAAACAUAAUUUAAAAAUUGGUUUUUGAGGAGCAUCUACCAGGCACGAUAGGAAAAACCUGUACUCCCAGCACUAGAGAAAUGGAGGAGCAUCUACCAGGCAUGAUGAGAAAAACCUGGAAUCCCAGCACUUGGGAAAUGGAACUCCUCUUGGACCAGGAGUUCAAGGCCAGCAUGGGCUGUAUGAGACUGUCUCGAAAACACAAAAGAAACAUCUAUGUGCAGAAAUAAACAUUUCUAGAAGCUGGCCAACA